GGAAGUUUGCCUUUGAACACACCGCUCUCUCCCUGCACUGUAUGUCACCUCAUACUGUAUGGCUCAUUUUGAGCAGCGAGUAACAACAUCACUGGAGGUUUGUGUGAGGUACAGCAUACAUGAAAGGCAACAGCGCCCACUAUUUAUGCAUAGUGCGUGGCACAAAUCGUUAUUGCACCCUUCAGAUUUGAGACUGAUAGACAGAAGAACCAACCAACAGUGGAUAAUGGAGGACCAUCCGUGACUGAGUGCAAUGAAAGUCCAUUGAUUCUUCAUCACGAAAAUGCAGCAGCACCUGAGGGGAGCGGCCCCUUACCGUUGUCUGAGUCUGUGAGCUCUGACUAAAUCAACAAAAUGAACACAAAUGUUUUAAAAUGUUCUUAGAAAUGUUCUUAAUCUUGUUGUUUCUUCGUAUCUUCUAUUGUGUAAUUUCUUCACCCAAGAUUAUUUUGGGGAAGUUUGUGCUUUUUACUUUUAUUUCAUUCCAAAUAAUUAUGACAUAUUCUGUCAGCAGUCCUCUUCUGUCUGUGAUCUUGUAUAUACAUCCAGUGCAUGGCUAGAGCAUAUCUCCUGUUAGUAUCUUUAGUGAUGUUCAGGAUAUUUUUGAAAUAUACUUUCACUGUGGGUUUAUUCAGGACAUCCCUGCCCUGAGCACCGAUAUGGCUAACAAGAUGAAGCUAGAGGUGUUUUUCGUGUAGCGUACUCCAAACACUUGUAAGGCAACACUAACAUCUACUAAAUGUCAUGUUUCAGGAAGGUGCAGUAAAUAAGAUAUUCUACUUAACAUGUCACUGCCAAUGAAGAAGUUAUUAGUCAUAAGUAGUAGUCCUGUGCAAGCAAAUGUAUUUGUGUGUUGGCAAAAACAAGAAAAUAAUAUUCCUCAUUUUGCAUUCUUGACUACUUUAAAAGACACACAUGCUUUGUAAACUAGAGAUUGUGCCCUCACACUUGUCACACACAUUUUGCAUUGAACAUUUUAAGCA